rnacentral:rRNA from 1 species
UGGCCCGCUGAUUAGAUGGAAAUCGGAGUGCUUGCACAAAGACGGAAAUCUAUGACGCGGAUCUUCCACCUAGUGGCGCAAGGGUGAGUAACACGUGGGUAAUCUGCCUUCGAGUCUGGAAUAACAGUUAGAAAUGAUUGCUAAUGCCGGAUGAUAUGGAGAACGAUACGUCAUUCUUUAUUAAAAGGAGCCUUUAAAGCUUCGCUUGAAGAUGAGCCUGCGCCGUAUUAGCUAGUUGGUGGGGUAAUGGCCUACCAAGGCAACGAUGCGUAGCCGACCUGAGAGGGUGAUCGGCCACACUGGGACUGAGACACGGCCCAGACUCCUACGGGAGACAGCAGUUAGGAAUAUUCGUCAAUGGAGGAAACUCUGAACGAGCAAUGCCGCGUGAAAGGAUGAAGGUCCUAUGGAUUGUAAACUUCUGUUGUUAGGAAAGAACGACCUGUAUAGGAAAUGAUACAGGAGUGACGGUACCUUUCAAGAAAGCUCCGGCUAACUACGUGCCAGCCGCCGC